rnacentral:lncRNA from 1 species
CUUAAUCUUCCGAGGUGGCUUGUAUGAGUCUUCAGCAUUCUCAGCUGGAGGGUGACCAGGGUUGUGACCAUAAUGUGGUGGCUUCUCUCCCUUAGGUGGUUUGCCAACUGGGGUUGGUGGCUUGUAUGAGUCUUCAGCAUUCUCAGCAGGAGGGUGACCAGGGUUGUGACCAUAAUGUGGUGGCUUCUCUCCCUUAGGUGGUUUGCCAACUGGGGUUGGUGGCUUGUGUUCUGGGAGUGGCUUCUCCCCCUUGGGAGGUUUUUCCAAUGGGGUUGGUUUGUGUUCAGGAGGUGGCUUCUCCACUGGAGGCUUGUGUUCAGGAGGUGGCUUCUCCACCGGAGGCUUGUGUUCAGGUGGUGGCUUCUCCACCGGAGGCUUAUGCUCUGGUGGUGGCUUCUCGAAUGGGGGAUGCUUAGGAUAAUCAGCAAGUGAGGGGGCGGUGAGAACCACCAGGCCAAGCAACACCACUAGCAAAUAUGUAGGAGACAUCUUUGGGUUUGGGCUCAGAUGGUGCAAAACUAGGAGAAUUGGCUAGCCUUUUAUAGCGGAUCGUACCCAAUAAUGAAAUGACACGUGUCAUUAUGACCCAUGUGUAAUGGGGUCGAUUUGGGUCCUACAGUGUUGAAAACUUCGACAUCCACUUUUGGCCUUUUGCUUUCUCUACAGCCGCCUUGCUUUUUCCCUCUUUCCUUUUGUUUUCCUCCUGCCCCAUUCUAUCAACUAAACACAAUUAUGUAGUUGUUUAAUUCUUAAAUGAGAUAUUAUCCGUCAAUCGUAUUAUAUUUUAUCAAGAGAGAACGGAGUGCAAUGUGGCUGUAAUUUUAUCGUUUAGUUUUAUCUCUUGGACCACUGCAUUUUUGUUAAGAGGUGCAAUAAUACACGUCUUUAUCUGCCAUUCAAUAUUUACAGUAAAGAGAGGGCACAAAACUCUUCACUUCGCACCAUAAUUAUUUUGUUUUCUGGACACCCCGGGGCCCUUUGGUUGGUUUGGGGGUCAGAAAGUGAACAUCAUAGGGGGUUUUUCCCUUAUGUGCAUUUGUAUCUGAUGGCUUUAACUCGCCUUGUUACUACAAAGAAACUGUCACAGAUAGGAACUUAUUCCAGGCUGAGUAUCUCCUCAUAGACCCUAUAAAAGAAGACAAGUCAUAAUGAACAUCUAACCUUUGUUCAAUUUGAUUCAAUGCCCCCAUUGUGUCCAUCUCACAAAUCUGAAUUAUUAUAUCCAUUGAAUACAUAAAUUAAUGAAGAAAAUAUGAAACCCAAGAUACAUCUCUGCACAACCUCAACCCUGGUUGCUAUGUUUCCCUUCUAUUCACAUGAUUUGAUGCUAAUUGCCAAACUUGCAACAAGCCCUGAGUUUGACACCUAGUAUCGAUGGGCGAAUUUAAAGUCUCCUCCAAACAUAUAUUCCACAGCUUGAAGCUCACAGAAGAUGUUACAGGCAGGGAAAAACCUUCAGAGUUCGCUACCAAAGAUAAUUAUUAAGGAGAUAUCACAAAGAGAAUUCCAAGGGGUCUGAAUCAAAGACAAAUUGGUCGUUCGUGGGGGUUCUUACUUUCUUUUGGGUAUAACUCACUGAGGGCACUGUCUUUGUUAUUUGCAUUUCACAUUUAGAGUUCUGUUCUGGAAACAUAUAAAAGGAGCAUCAUUUUGUUCUUGGGUAACCCAUAGUCGUGAGUGGGUCCAUUUGCAUGCUACUUAGUUGAAAAGUUGGACCAUUUGCUCCGACGCCUACCUCCCGGAUUCCAUGCUCGGAUAAAACAAGAAUAAAAAAAAUAUUUAUAAUUUACAAAUGGGGGAAAGAAAAAAAUGUCAACAACAAACCAGGAAAAAAGAGUAGUAAAAUUCAUGUCACAUGCUAGUGAGAGAAGGGGUUGUUACACUCACUCGAAGUUCUUUCCAAAAUAUCGCAUGGUAUUUUAUUUUAUGUGUCAGCGCAGUUGUGAAUGGAACGUGCAAAAGUCCAAAUUGGCGUUUUUCCUUUUCCCGUGUAGGAUGGCGACCUUUAAUAAAUAUUUAAAACAAAAAACGAAAAAAAGGAGGGAAAAGGGAUCAGAAAAGAUAAAACAAUGUGUACAAGAGCUCAAUUAGUUUGCAAAUUACUGUUUGGAUUUUGAUAGUAUUUUAUUUGUCCAUCUAUAUUUGAUGGAAAAGAGAAUUUAAGAUAUUUCUGAAACAAAAGCAUUAGUGUAAAACUAAAUUAAGGUAUAAUUAAGUUAGUUCAAUGCAUUAAUUUAAGAAACUUGAUCUAUCCAAAGUACAAAAUUAGAUGAAAUCCAUUUCAAUGGUUAAAAUGAUCAAAAUCAAACUUUUUCUAAGUAUUUUUUAAAAGCAUCAAUAUUAAAAGACAAUUUUAUAUUUAGUCGGAGUUUGGACAAAACCAAAAAGCACACAAAAUCCAAGCGACCAUCUCUAGCUUGGAUAGUCACUUGAUCCCACCUAGAGAUGUGCAUGAGUAAAAGGAUUUGAAAAUGGAAAUUGACUAAAUAUUUAGUUGAUCAAUUAAAUUUGCAAUGUCAUAUGCAAUCCUAAUAGCUAGUCAUCUAAUCAAUUAGGUAGUCAAUCAAGUGUUUGUAAUGACUAUUUUGUACAAAAAACCACAUGUAUAGUUAAAUAUAAUGCAUUUCAUUUAUAAAUCUUCUAAUUCUUGAAUAACGAUCCUAUCAUCCUUUGAAAAUUUUUAUUACACCUUUUUUACUUUUGUUCUAAAACUUACAUAUCACCCUUAAUUGUACCAUGAGAACCUAGCUAUUUUUUUUUUUUUUGUAAUUCAUCAAAGUUAGCUUUUGUAUUCAUUGUUGUAUUAUUUUUAGUAUAACUUAGAAAGCUAGUGUUUUCAAGUGAGUAAAAUUAACUUGUAAAUAUUGUAAAGAUUCAUUGAUAUGUAUCUUAAACUAAGUGUACAAAUUAAAACAUUUGCUAGUAGAUUUUCUCAAAAUUUAGAAUAGAGCUUGAGGCUAUUGAAAUAGGUGGGGUUACACCAAACCACAUCACAUCGUUGUUUGCACCUUUUUUCACUCUCUUUUACUUAGUUUCUCUAUAUUUGUUGUCUAGUAAUAUCCUAUAGGCUUGAUGGGUUAGGGAGCAUCCCUUUGUGAAAAAAUUUCAUUCAAUUCUUAGUUGUAUUACGCAUAUAUAAAAUGCCUCAUUGUUUUAAUGGUAUUCAGUCGUGGCAUCACAGAUAUGGGCAUCUAAAUUUUAAAAGUUUGAAACUUUUGUAAAGCAUGUUGAUAAAAUCCAUGAGAGUUGUGUACUUGGGAAGCAACAUCGAGGUGACUUUAUUUUUUUUUCCUUUUAUAAUGCCACACCUAAGUCCGGUUUCUAAAUGCUAAAGUGAAAGGGUAGGUAUGGACCAUUGAAAUGUGAUCACAACUUUUGGCCUUUUCCUUUCUCUGCAGCCAUGUUGUCUCUUUUUUCUUUUGCAUGAUUUUCUUACCAAAACAGAAUCAUAGACUUGUUUAGUCUCUAAGCUACUAUAUUAUAUCUCGGUGGACUUUUAAGAGUGCAACCGACAUAGAGCACAUGCAAGUGGGCAUAUGGGACAUGAAAUUUCUUCUUACAAAGAUUGCAUGAUUUUUAUAUUAGAGUUGUUCACGUGCAAUGUAUUUAGCUUGUUUUGCAGUUAAAUUAAUUGGAUAAGUAAACAUUGGCAUUUCUAAAUCGACUGUGAAGUGCUUCAUGUACGUGUAAAGUAUUAGAAAUUUCUUUCUUGGCAACUUGUUUUUUCCUUGCCAUCUACUGGUAGGUUUGACUAAAAUUAUAUUCCCUGUCAUGCUAAUUAAUUUUCAUGUGCAUGCUCAAAAGAAGAGUAUGACCUUAGUGCACCAAAAUCACUUUGAUUAAUUUGUGAUAGGUUUUUUUGCAUCAUUUAGAUAAUGUUUAGUUCUAAGAAAAAUUUAUAUAAAAAUGGUUUAUUUAUCUUACAUAUAUAUAUAUAUAUAUAUAUUUUUUUUUUUUUCAUUUUUUUUUCUUCUAUUUUAUUUAUUUAUUUUAUUUUCCUUAUGUUUUCCUCACAUUUUCCGGAACUAAACAUAGUCUUACGAAAUCAACAAUUGCCUUCAACUGAGUAGAUUCUGUUGUUUUAGCAAUGUUAGGCUGCUAACUUGUGGUGGUACGAACCAAAUGACCCAUGUUAAUCUUGGCUUGGUUUGAUUUGGCUCUAUCUCAGAGAGCUAAAGGAUCACGUCAACUCUGGUUUCUACUAUUCAGGUCCAUUCCCAGAUGAACUGGUUCAAAUUUGAGAAAAUGGUAACAGACCUUUAGUGAUGUUGGUUUGGAGCCAGUUGCCAAACCCGCCCUGAGCUUUACCACUAAUGUCAAGGGAGAAAGCCAUUUGAACAAAAACAAUAGCUUCAAGAGACUGAAUCGUGGAUGAAAUCUGAUCCACAUUUCUUCUCAUUUUGGGAAAAAAUGAGAACUUAACUACAAAGAUUCUACUGCCUCAUUCAUAGUGCUUUUCCUGAUCCAAGGUUGGUUCGUUUCCCAAAUUGUGAGGUGCACGUGCCACUCUCACGCUCAGGAGUGUAUCCACGUGGUGGACAUCAGAUGGUGGCUUAAUAUCUGGUGUCGGUGGCUUUACUUUACUAGGAGAGUAGUGUGUCUUCAUCUCAUUCACUGCCGGAGGGUGGCGUAAGCAGUGACGCUAAGGUGGGGCACAGUCAAUAUCAUUUGCAUUUGACCAUUAUAGUUUUCUCCCGGCUUGAAAGUAACCUUAUCGUGAUAAAGGAUUACUAGCACUAGUUCAGAUGACCGUCAUGUUAAUUCGGACCAUGUUUGUGUCACAUUAUCAGCAACCAUGUGUUUAUGGUUCAUGCUAUCUGCAACUAAACUUGAUAUAUAACCAGGUGAACUUCAAUCAAAAUUCUGGAAGUACUCUUGUGAUAGAUGGUGCCUGUCUGCAGAGUCCAUCAAUUGAAAAAUGGAGUGAGUGUAUCUAUAAGAGGGAAGGCUUGGCAAAUGUUCAGUUUUCUGGGAAUUCAACAAGGAUCUAAAAUAGAUUGUUUUCUUUGCCGACUUCAAUGGUUGAAAUUUGAGAAGAUUGUGUCCACAUAUCACAACUAUUACUGGUCCUUCUGUUGCAAUUUAUCCUGUAAGGCUCUAACAUGUCUUCCAAUUCCCACUUCCCUGUUACUCCAGGAAAGCUAUUUCUGUCAUUGUGAAGAAGAAAAGAGAAUGUACAUAUCGAUGCUUUUAAGUGACUGGAGCAUUCAUAUCAGGUGGUCUGCAGCCAUAUAUGCCACUUUGUGAAGGUUGGAACAGUCAAUCACUAGGCUAUAUAUUGGUGUGGCCCAGCCACUUCAAUCAAGGACAAGUCUUCAUACUUAAAGUCAAAUUCUGCCUUUAGUCUCAUUAUAAAUUGCUGUUUAAAUAUUAAGCAAACUUUUGUUUAAUGCGAUUAAGACAGUACUAACUCAAUACUUGUUCUAUUUUUGGAUGCAAAUGCUUGAUGGUUUCAUCAUUGGAUGGGAUAAAGGUGCAUUCAUGAUUAUGAAUACUUGUAGUUAUAUUUUCAUUCUCUUUUUUCUCAAUGAGACUUGUUGGCACAAUGUUGCUGUUCAGAAACCUACCUCUCCAUGGAAAAUAAGUUGCGAUUGAUAGUACUGGAUAUGUUCAAGAAAGCUAAAUAUAGAUAGCACAAAAUAUUAUCGAUAUAAAUAGCAUUAACAGCGUACGUAUGUCUCAAUGCUCAUCAGCUAUAAGCAUGGGACAAACACUUACUAUGAGCAACUUACGUCAAAAUUCCAGAAUAGGACAUAGAAGUGACAGAUCUAUAUAUAUAGAACACUGCAUAUGAGUCACAAGAAAGGAAAUUACGGGUGCAUAGCAGCUCUUAUUUUACAUACUACUACUCAUACUGAUCAAAGUCACUCAGUUGGGAUGGGUGGGAGUAGGAGGUUUGUGGGGUGGCUUGUGCGGAGGAGUUGGCAGCUUCUUUCCAGGACCUGGUUGCUUCUCUGCUGGAGUUGAAGGAGGCUUAAUCUUCCGAGGUGGCUUGUAUGAGUCUUCAGCAUUCUCAGCUGGAGGGUGACCAGGGUUGUGACCAUAAUGUGGUGGCUUCUCUCCCUUAGGUGGUUUGCCAACUGGGGUUGGUGGCUUGUAUGAGUCUUCAGCAUUCUCAGCAGGAGGGUGACCAGGGUUGUGACCAUAAUGUGGUGGCUUCUCUCCCUUAGGUGGUUUGCCAACUGGGGUUGGUGGCUUGUGUUCUGGGAGUGGCUUCUCCCCCUUGGGAGGUUUUUCCAAUGGGGUUGGUUUGUGUUCAGGAGGUGGCUUCUCCACUGGAGGCUUGUGUUCAGGAGGUGGCUUCUCCACCGGUGGCUUGUGUUCAGGAGGUGGCUUCUCCACCGGAGGCUUAUGCUCUGGUGGUGGCUUCUCCACCGGAGGCUUAUGCUCUGGUGGUGGCUUCUUGAAUGGGGGAUGCUGAGGGUAAUCAGCAAGUGAGGGGGCGGUGAGAACCACCAGGCCAAGCAACACCACUAGCAAAUAUGUAGGAGACAUCUUUGGGUUUGGGCUCAGAUGGUGCAAAACUAGGAGAAUUGGCUAGCCUUUUAUAGCGGAUCGUACUCAAUAAUGAAAUGACACGUGUCAUUAUGACCCAUGUGUAAUGGGGUCGAUUUGGGUCCUACAGUGUUGAAAACUUCGACAUCCAGUUUUGGCCUUUUGCUUUCUCUACAGCCGCCUUGCUUUUUCCCUCUUUCCUUUUGUUUUCCUCCUGCCCCAUUCUAUCAACUAAACACAAUUAUGUAGUUGUUUAAUUCUUAAAUGAGAUAUUAUCGGUCAAUCGUAUUAUAUUUUAUCAAGAGAGAACGGAGUGCAAUGCAGCUGUAAUUUUAUCGUUUACUUUUAUCUCUUGGACCACUGCAUUUUUGUUAAGAGGUGCAAUAAUACACGUCUUUAUCUGCCAUUCAAUGUUUACAGUAAAGAGAGGGCACAAAACUCUUCACUGCUCUGCAUGUGUCCCAAAAAUGCGAUUGGACAAAUUAUGAUUUGCAUGCUAAAAAGAGGCAAAUGAGGUUAAUUCGCACCAUAAUUAUUUGGUUUUCUGGACACCAUAAAAAGAUGUUAUACAGGCAGGGAAAAACCUUCAGAGUUAGCUACCAAAGAUAAUUAUCAAGCAGAUAUCACCAAGAGAAUUCCAUAGAGUCUGAAUCAAAGACAGAUUGCUCGCUCGUGGGGGUUCUUACUUUCUUUUGGGUAUAACUCACUGAGGUCACUGUCUUUUUUAUUUGCAUUUCACAGUUAGAGUUCUGCUCUGGAAGGUUUGUUCUGGAAACAUAUAAAAGGAGCAUCAUUUUGUUCUUGGGUAACCCAUAGUCGUGAGUGGGUCCAUUUGCAUGCUACUUAGUUGAAAAGUUGGACAAUUUGCUCCGACGCCUACCUCCUGGAUUCCAUGCUCGGUAAAACAAGAAUAAAAAAAAAUAUAUAAUUUACAAAUGGGGGAAAGAAAAAAUGUCGGAAAAAAUAGUAAAAUUCAUGUCACAUGCUAGUGAGAGAAGGGGUUGUUACACUCACUCGAAGUUCUUUUCAAAAUAUCGAAUGGUAUUUUACUUUAUGUGUCAGCGCAGUUGUGAAUGGAACGUGCAAAAGUCCAAAUUGGCGUUUUUAUUUUUCCCAUGUAGGAUGGUGACCUUUAAUAAAUAUUUAAAACAAAAGACGAAAAAAAAAAGGAGGGAAAAGGGAUCACAAAAGAUAAAAUAAUGUUUACAAAAGCUCAAUUAGUUUGCAAAUUACUGUUUGGAUUUUGAUAGUAUUUUAUUUGUCGUUCUAUAUUUGAUGUAAAAGAGAAUUUAAGAUAUUUCCGAAGCAAAAGCAUUAGUUUGCUCUGUGAUGUCCCACAUCGAAUAGGGGAGAAAGUUUCUGGCGCUAUAUAUGUAGAGGCUCCUCUUAACCAAGUAGAUGCGUUUUAAAACCAUGAGGGCCCCCUUAGGUCCAAAGCGGACAAUAUCUACAUGAUUGGGUGUAAGUCAUUACAAAUGGUAUCAGAGCCGAUCCCCGACCCCGGUGUGGGGGUUUGUUUGGCCCUGUAAGGGGUGUUUGUCUGUUUGACCCCACAAUCCCAUGGGACACAACGAGGACGUUGUGUCUGCAUGGGGGGGCGUUUGUGAUGUCCCACAUCGGAUAGGGGAGAAAGUUCCUAGUGCUAUAUAUGUAGAUGUUUCUCUUAACCAAGUAGAUGCAUUUUAAAAUUGUGAGGGCCUCUUUGGGCCCAAAGCGGACAAUAUCUACAUGGUUGAGUGUAAGUCAUUACAUGCUCCAUGUCAAUUUCAGCAUUUCUCAUAUGUUUCACACAUACACAGAAGAGCAUCGUUUUUUAAAGCAUGCAUUUAUGUUGGAUUAAUUUGGAUUUUGUGGGAACUGGGGCAAGGAUCACAUGGAAGAGAGGUUGACUUUUUUCAGUACUUCAAUGGUUGAAAUAUGUGAAGGCUUGAUUGAUACUAAAGCUUGAAAUUGCGACUCUGUCAUUUGUAAAAAAAUAUGACAGCUUCCAUGCUCUCGUUUGGUUGCAUUGUCCGGUCGAGAGGUGCAAAAAGCAUUCUCUCUCUUCUAAUAGUCUUUUCGUUUAAAUCAAGGGAUUUGCCUUCCCGGUCGAGGUCCAAUAGAGGGUAACGGUCACCUACUAAACAUUAAAUGCUCCAACAACUAGUGAACUGAUCGACCCCAGCUCGACUAGUUGAGGUUACUUUUUGGUUUUCUUGUCUCCCGAGGUUAGAAACCUAUAAAUAGAGAGCUUCACUUCAUUUAUGAGUAAGAGAACACCUAAAUUUAUUUGUUUACCUACUUGUUUUUGCCAUAAAAGCUCUCAUUUCUUUUCUUGGUGUAUUAAAUCUCCAUUUGCAUAUCCUUUAGUGCACCUUUGUGAUUCAUUCUAGCCUUGAGUUGUAUUUAAGCCUUUGUUGAGCUAGGUUGAGAGUUUCAUACUUGUUUAUUGAGUGUUAAAGCCUUCAAGUGAGUUAAAACUUGAAGAGAUUGUGUAAGAGCCCAUUGGAGUCGGAAUCCAAGUGUAAAGGUGAUUAAAAGCUUGGUUGAAGCUUCAAGUUAGUGGAACUCUCACUCGGUUAUGAGCUUGAGAAGAGUGGACAUAGACAAGGCAGUGUCGAACCACUAUAAAAUCUGAGUUUGAUUUCUCUAACCUUAUCUCUUUAUAUUUGCUUCUCUUGUGCUUAAAUUUUUUGUGUUUAAAAAGAAUUUUUAAAAACUCAAUUCACCCCCUUCUUGGGAGUUUUUCUCUUUUAAGAUCAGCUUUUAUUUUCUCAAUUGGUAUCAGAACUAUGCCUCUUGUUUAAGACUUAAUCGUCUAAGAGGAAAUGGCUAAUCCAUCAAGUUCAUCUCACAUUGAAAGUUUUGCAACCAAUAGACUUCUUUUUUUUUUUUUGCGGGAACUGAUUAUCCCUAUUGGAAAACUAAAAUGACUUGGUUUUUACAAUCAAUUGAUUUAGAUGUAUGAGAUGCCAUUGAAGAUGACCUAACUUUUCCUUCAAAACUAGUUGAUGGAGUCAUGGUUCCAAAACCUAAGCAAGAAUGGGAUGAGCGUGAUUGAAGAAAUUUUCAAUUAAAUGCUAAAGUCGUUUAUACUUUGCAAUGCUCUAUGGACAGAAAUGAAUAUAAUAGAAUAUGUCAAUGCAAAUCGGUUAAAGAAAUUUGGAGAUUGCUUGAAAUAACUCAUAAAGGAACAAAUCAAGUUAAAGAGUCAAAAAUCAAUUUACUUGUUCAUAGAUAUGAAUUGUUUUUUAUGAAAGAUAAUGAAACUAUUGUUAAGAUGAUCACUAGGUUCACCAACAUUGUUAAUGGUCUUAAAGCCUUGGGAAAGACCUACAAGGAAUCCGAAAACGUGAUGAAGAUCUUGAGGUCACUUCCAUCAAAGUGGCAUACCAAGGUCACCGCAAUUUAAGAAGCAAAAGACUUGAUCAAGCUACCUUUGGAGGAGUUCAUAGGGUCAUUGAUGACAUAUGAAAUCAAUUUGGCAAAGAAGUAACAAAAAGGUGAAGACAAAAAGAAGAAGAACAUAACUCUCAAAGCUACAACUAAGGAAGAAGAAGUUGAAGAAGAAAAACAAAUUGAAGAAGAUGAAGAUUUAGCCCUCAUCACAAGAAAGUUCAACAAAUUCAUGAGGGGUGAAAGGUUUAGAAGAAGAAGGUUCACUUCUAGAAGAGACUUUUCUAAAAAGGAAUCUUCAUCUAAUGGUGACAAAAAGAGAUGGGAAGAGAAAAGAGACUUGGUGUGUUUCAAGUGCAAGAAACCGGGACACAUUAAAUAUGAUUGUCCUCUCUACAAAAGUGAAGUCAAGAGGAAAAAGAAUAAGGCAAUGAUGGCCACUUAGAGUGAAAGUGAAGAUGAAUCAUCCGAAGAAGAAAAUGAGAAAGAAGUGGCAAACAUGUGUUUCAUGGCAAUAGAUGAACUUGAUGAGGUAAAAUCUAACCUUAGUGAUUAAGAUAUACAUGAUGCAUUUGAAGAAUUGUAUGAGGAUUUUUAAAAACUUAGUUUGAAAAAUAUUUCUCUUAAAAAGAAAGUUCAACAACUUGACAAAGAACUUAGAGAAGUAAAAGAAAAAUUUUCAAAUGUUAAAGUUUCUAAAACUCAUCUUGAAAAAGAAAAUGAGAUUCUAAGAAAGAAAAAUGAAUAGUUGAACUCCUCUCUUUCAAUCUUUUCUUCUAGACAAAAAUCUUUUGAAAUGAUUCUAACUAGCUAAAAAUGUGUUUUUGACAAACAAGGGUUAAGAUUUAAAUCUUCAAAAAAUCAAAAGUAUUUUAAAAACUAUUUUGUAAAGGAAUCCACAAGUGCAAGUCCUUCCACUACUUGCAACUUUUGUGGAAGAGAAUGGCACAUUAGUAGUACGCCCUUUAAGAAAUGGUUCUCAAAAGAAUUUAAAUGCAAAAACUAAAAAAGAUUUGGAUUGAGAAAUCCAAGGUCACUAACCCUCAAGGACCCAAAAAGAUAUAGGUACCUAAAUCAACUUGAGUUUUAUGUUGUAAGGUUCAAAGAAUGAUAAGUGGUUCUUAGAUAAUGGUUGCUCAAGACACAUGACCGGAGAUGAAUCCAAGUUUGCUUUUCUUAAAAAGAAAAAUGGAGGAUAUGUUACCUUUGGAGACAAUGCAAAAGAAAGGAUGAUUGGUCAAGGCAACAUUGGUAAUGGCACAUCCUCUCUCAUUGAAAGUGUUUUAUUAGUAGAUGGUUUCAAACAUAACCUUUUAAGCAUUAGUCAAUUUUGCGACAAAGGUUUUUAAGUGAUUUUUUAAGCAUCUCAUUGCAUCAUCAAGGAUAUUCAAAAUGAUAAAACCAUUUUCAUGGGCCAUAGAUGUGAUAAUGUUUAUGCUAUAAAUAUUUCAAAAUAUGAUGGCCAUGAUAGAUGUUUUUCAAGCAUGCAUGAUCAAAGUUGGUUGUGCCAUAGGAGAUUGAGACAUGCUAACAUAGACCUCAUUUCCCAACUCAACAAAGAUGAACUUGUUAGAGGCCUUCCCAAAAUAAUUUUUUAAAAAGAUAAAGUUUGUGAAGCUUGUCAAGUGGGAAAGUAAAUCAAAAACUCUUUUAAAAACAAAAACUUCAUUUCCACAUCUAGGCCACUUGAGUUGUUGCAUAUGGAUUUAUUUGGUCCCUCUAGGACACCAAGUCUUAGAGGAAAUUCUUAUGCAUAUGCUAUUGUGGACGACUUCUCUAGAUACACAUGAGUCUUGUUUUUUAGUCAAAAGAAUAAAGUUUUUUAUGAGUUUUCAAAGUUUUGCAAUAAGAUUCAAAAUGAAAAAGGUUUUUCAAUUACUUAUAUAAGAAGUGAUCAUGGGAGAGAAUUCGAAAAUAUUGAUUUUGAAGAGUAUUGCAAUGAGCAUGGAAUUGACCACAAUUUUUUGGCUCUUAGAACUCCUCAACAAAAUGGGGUAGUUGAAAGGAAAAAUAGAACUCUUCAAAAAAUGACAAGAACCAUACUAAAUGAAAACAACUUACCAAAAUAUUUUUAGGCCAAAACGGUUAACACUUCUUGUUAUGUUUUAAAUAGAGUAUUAUUGAGGCUCAUACUUAAGAAAACUCCCUAUGAGCUUUGGAAAAACAAAAAACCCAACAUUAGUUAUUCCAAAGUCUUUGGAUGCAAUAUUUUAUAAUAAACACCAAAGACAAUCUUGGAAAAUUUGAUGCAAAAUUGGAUGUUGGAAUUUUCCUUGGUUACUCAACUUCAAGUAAAGCUUUUCGAGUUUUAACAAAAGAACCAUGGUUGUAGAGGAGUCCAUCCAUGUUAUUUUUUAUGAAUCUCCAAGAAAGAGAGAGGAUUGAUGAUGAUUUAGGUUUGAAGACCUCUAUAGGAAGAUUGCAAAUCGAAGAUAGAAGACAACAAGAAGAAAAUGGAGAGAAUCCAAAGAAAGAAGGAUCACCAUUGGCACUACCCCCUCAUCAACAAGCGCAAGGUGAAUCAAGUCAAGAGCUUCCUAAAGAAUGGAAGUUUGUCAUCAAUCACCCACAAGAUCAAAUUAUAGGCAAUCCAUCUAGUGGGGUAAGAACUAGAUCCUCUCUUAGAAAUAUUUGCAAUAAUCUAGCUUUUAUCUCUCAAAUUGAGCCUAAAAAUAUAAAUGAUGUUUUAGAUGAUGAAAAUUGGAUAAUUGCAAUGCAAGAAGAGUUAAAUCCAUUUGAAAGAAGUGGAGUAUGGGAAUUAGUACCAAGACCUUCAAAUCAAAGUGUUAUUGGAACUAGAUGGAUCUUUAGAAAUAAAAUGGAUGAAAAUAGCAUAAUUGUUAGAAAUAAAGCAAGAUUGGUAGCCCAAGGUUUUAAUCAAGAAGAAAUGAUAGAUUAUGAAGAAACCUUUGCCCCCGUAGCUAGGUUGGAAGCCAUUAGGAUGCUACUUGCCUUUGCAUGUUUUAAAGACUUUGUUUUAUAUCAAAUGGAUGUGAAAAGUGCUUUUUUAAAUGGUUUUAUAAAUGAAGAAGUAUAUGUUGAACAACCACCCGGUUUUCAAAGUUUCAACUUUCCUAACCAUGUUUUUAAACUUAAAAAGACACUUUAUGGUUUGAAACAAGCACCUAGAUCAUGGUAUGAAAAAUUGAGUAAAUUUCUUUUGAAAAAAAUGUUUUAAAAUGGGAAAAAUUGACACAACUCUUUUUAUAAAAACCAAAGAAAAUGAUAUGCUCUUAGUUCAAAUAUAUAUUGAUGAUAUCAUUUUUGGUGCUACUAAUGUCUCUCUUUAUGAAGAAUUUUCUAAGUGCAUGCAUAGUGAGUUUGAAAUGAGCAUGAUAGGAGAACUCAACUUCUUCCUUGGACUUCAAAUCAAGCAACUAAAGGAAUGAACCUUCAUCAAUCAAGCAAAGUAUAUAAGAGAUCUUCUCAAAAGGUUCAACAUGGAAGAAGCCAAAACAAUGAAGACUCUAAUGAGCUCAUCCAUUAAGCUUGAUAAGGAUGAGAAAGGUAAAUCCAUUGACUCUAUUAUGUAUAGAGGCAUGAUAGGUUCUUUGCUCUAUUUGACCACUAGUAGACCUUACAUUAUGUAUAGUGUGUGUUUGUGUACUAGAUUUCAAUCUUGUCUUAAAAAAUCUCACUUAAGUGUCGUGAAAAGAAUCCUCAAAUAUUUGAAAGGGACAAUGGACAUAGGCUUAUGGUAUCCUAAGAGUGAUAACUUUGAAUUAAUUGGUUUUUUGGAUGCUGAUUUUGUCAGUUGUAGGGUUGAAAAAUAAAACACUAGUGGCACUUUUCAUUUCUUAAGACACUUACUUGUCUCAUGGCAUAAUAAGAAGCAAAAUUUGGUAGCUUUGUCAACAGCAGAAGCUAAAUACAUAGCAACUGGUUUAUGUUGUGCACAAAUCCUUUGGAUGAAAUAAACACUUAGUGAUUUUGAUUUAUCUUUUGAGCAUAUUCCUAUUAAAUGUGAUAAUAGUAGUGCCAUAAGUAUAUCAAAAAAUCUCGUGCAACACUCUAGGACUAAGCAUAUAGAGAUUAGACAUAAUUUUCUUAGAUAUCAUACACAAAAGGAUGAUAUAACACUUGAAUUUGUAAGCAUAAAAGACCAACUUGCCGAUAUCUUUACAAAACCUCUAAGAACAUUUUGUUGAUAUUAGAGGACAAUUAGGAGUGAUUUCUUUAUGAUCUAAUGUGAUGAAUUCUUGAUGAAUAUACUUUUUGAUUGCAUGAAUUUCAUGUCAUAUAUGCAUCAUAUAGAAAUAUACUUAGAUAAUGGUCAAAUUUCGACCAAAAAUCAAAAUUCCCAUGGCAUUAGGCAUAAAAAUUUUGGAAUUUCAACUGAAAAUGGUAGGAGGAGGAUCACAAAAUGAGAAAGUAUGCAAAAAUUGAAAAAUCAAAACGUUGACCAAGCGGUCAAUCGGACUAGACCGAUCGACUAGUUUGUCGAGAUUUAGGAUUUUUAAGAGACUCCAACGCUUCAAUUUUUGCACCGUUCUCCUCUAUUUCUUCACGGUUUCUCUGAUUUUGUCUUUUAGAGACUAAUUUGAGUGCGUUUUGGAUCAAUUGAAGCAUUUUGGAUUGGAUUUUAGGAAGAUUGAAAGUUAAGGUUUCGGAUUUGGGUCGCCUUCUCUUCCUCUCGCGUGUCACAAUCAGCUUUAGCAUUGUUCUCUUUCCAUUUUCACACACCUAGGGUUUCAGUUGUGAGCAUCUCUCUCUCUUUACCAACCACUACUCCCUUGCUUCUUCCAUAUGGCUCCUAGGCGAGAGUCCGCUACUUCUAGGGCACAAGGCAAGCACCCAACUGAGUCGUCUCAGUCAAAGGCACGUCGAAAAGUGAGAUUUGACAUUGCCUUGUUCAGUUCCAUGGAGGACUACCAACUAUACAAGCAACACUUUGCUUAGAGACGAGUAGUUCCCAAGAGAAAUAUUAAUUUUCCUCAACUUCAGCAUUUCGAAUUUAAGGGUCUAUUUACUAGGAUGGUUGGUUGUCUAUUGUCACAAUUUCGGAGCCGGUUUUCCUGACCUUAGUGCGAGUUUUUUACUCGAGGGCGACUUAUGGCAUGGGUGGCAUGAUCAUUUCUACUGUUGGAGGAGUUGAGAUCUGUCUGGACCCAGAGAGCAUCUGCCAUAUUUUCGAUAUUGCUCUGGUUGGACUCAAAGUAUACAAGUCCAAAAUGUGGCCCAUUGUGCCAGGAUUUGAGCUUAGAGAGGUCAUUCAGAGGAUUUGUGAACUUCCAGACGCCCAGGAGAUGGGCAAACCAUUGCCACACAGUUUGACGGUCAUCAACAGGGUGCUACACCAUAUAUUGUGCUCUAUCUUUCUACCACGAAGUGGACAUUGAGAUGAGGUCUCUUAUUAUGAGGCAUUCCUUAUUGACUCCAUUCUAACGGAGAGACGAAUUCAUCUACUAUGUCAUCAUUCACUAAGCCUCCUCACAGUGACAUACCACCUCAUCAGGCACCUCUUGCUCCUGACCAUGCUCCAUUGAUGGAUUUAUUUACUCAUAUUAGCUCUCUAGGCACUCGCAUGAAGGAGUUUGUUGUAGUUAGUGAUACAUGGUUCUACUCCAUAGAGGAUCGCAUGGAUCAGUAUCAGACUGGCUUCACGUCACAGUUUGAGUAUCUCCAAUAGAGGAUUGAGCAUAUUGAGGAUCACUUGAGCAUGAGAAGAUGAUGGCUUUUCUAUGCUCUGUGUUUCCACCUCCACCUCGUCAACCUUGAUUUCUUAGAGACCCAUUGUUUUCAUUUUGUAAUGUUGCCAAAAGGGGGAGAUAUUUAGGAUCUAGGACUCUAUAGGAGACUUACAUGCAUAUCAUUUUCAUAUCAUUGUUUGGAUCGUACAUAUUGGAUAGUGAUACUUUUUACUUAUAUAUGAUAUGCCUAUAUGUUUCAUGUCUUACAUUGUUUCUUAUUGCAAAUUAUCUCUAACAUGUCUUGAUUAUCUUUUUUUUAACUUCAUAAAUUUUGAUUGUUAACCCAUGAUUGGUUUGAGGGGAAGAUUCUUCUUCUCCUAGAUAACCAAGGUUUGUCAUCAUAAAAAAAUUGGAGAUUGUUAGCCCAAGGGUUCUCCUAAUCAUGUUUUGAUGAUAACAAACCAUGCUUAAGUUACUAAUUGGUUUGAAUUAUAAAGAAUUUCAAGUGUUAAUUUGAAAAUUCAUCAAAGAACCUAAUGGAUGCAAGAUCAAGAUUUUUGGAAGACCUUUAAUCAUAAGAAACAUAUGUAAGAUGAAUGCAUGGGUGCACUUAAGAUUUGCAUAUCAUUUCAUGCAUAUUUGGAAAACACGGUUUAUGCUUUAAAGUUACAUUUCCAUCAAAAUUUGAGAUCCAUCAAAUGAACCUUAGGAAAAAUGUUUUAAAAUUGGCAUAUAAUUUUACCUAAAGACCUUGCCUAAGUGUUAGAAGCAAAAGGACAAAAAAAAUAUAGGUUUUCUGGUCAAAAAUGGUGAACCAGUCAAGGCAUUGUCUAAAUCAGCUCAAUCGGCCAAGGUACCGGUCGAUCGGUUUCCCUUUCCCUGUCGAGAUCUAGUCAAGAGGUACAAAAAUCACAAUCUCUGUCUCUUUCUCUCUUUGUCUAUCUUCCAGUAGUCUUUCCUUCCCGGUCGAGGGAUUUGCCUUCCCGAUUGAGGUCCGAUUGAGAGUAAUAGUCACUUGCCAAAUAUUAAAUGCUCCAACAGUUAGUGAACUGGUCGACCCCCACCUUGCCCAGUUGAGGUUACUUUUUGGUUUUCUUGGCUCCCGAUGUUAGAAACCUAUAAAUAGAGAGUUCCACUUCAUUUAUGAGCAAGAGAACACUUGCAUUUAUUUGUUUACCUACUUGUUCUUGCCUUAAAAGCUCUCAUUUCUUUUCUUGGUGCAUUAAAUCUCCAUUUUGAUAUCCUUUAGUGCACCUUUGUGAUUCAUCUUAGCCUUGAGUUGUAUUUGAGCCCUUUUUUUAGCUAGGUUGAGAGUUUCAUACUUGUUAAUUGAGUGUUAAAGCCUUCAAGUGAGUUGAAACUUGUAGAGAUUAUGUGAGAGUCGAUUGGAGCCGAAAUCCAAGUGUAAAGGUGAUUAGAAGCUUGGUUGAAGCUUCAAGUUAGUGGAAUCCUCACUCAAUUAGGAGCUUGAGGAGAGUGGACGUAGCCAAGGAAGUGUCGAACCACUAUAAAAUUUGAGUUUGAUUUCUCUAACAUUGUCUCUUUAUAUUUGUUUAUCUUGUGCUUAAAUUUAUUGUGUUUAAAAAGAAUUUUUAAAUACCCAAUUCACCCCCCUCUUGGGUGUUUUUCUCUUUUAAAAUUAGCCUUUAUUUUCUCACAAACUAUUGUAGUAUAGUGGUUUUUAGGUGUCAUCCAUUAGGAUGAAUUGUUCUCGGUAAUUAAGGCGUGAAUGAGAGGAGAAUUAAUGAUUGUGAUUAAGUAAAAUUGAUUUGAAAAUUCAUGGUGAAAAAUCAAUUUAACAAUGGUUUCUAAUUGAGAAAAACAAUGAAAUGUGAAAUAAAAUAAAAUUAAUAGGAAAUGAAAUUCUCGAAGUUAGAAUUUUCUAAAAAACAAAUUCCAUGGUGAAUGGAUGUUGAGAUCUAAUUUUCAUCAAGUUAGAUUGAAAACCGAAAUUUUCAUAUAAACUGAUUUUUUAUUUAGUUUUAGGUCUAGAUUUAAUUUCCCUUAAAAUUAGGUUAUUUAAUCCAAGAAAUCAAUUCAAAUCAUAUAUUCAAUUCAUCUUAAAUUAUCUUCCAAUUAUUCACACAAUGCAACUAUUCAAUCUCAUCAAAUCUAGCUUUUAAGAAUUUAAUGAAUCUACCUAGUUUGCAUUGUAAUAGUCAUCCAUGACAAUUUGAAGAGAAAAAUAAUUCAAUUAAUCAAUCACUUGGAUCAAAUUACCUUUGCAAUUAAAGUUCAUUUCUCUAAUUCACCACAGAUUUUGUCUCUAGAUCCUCCUUUCUCAAAGAAAAAUGAGAUUUAGCCACACAUGAUUGGAGAUUUGGUCUCAUAAGGCAUGUUUAGCUAGUGAUAAAAUGAGAGAAAAUAAAGAAAAAUAGAGAAUUCGAUUAAGAAAGAAAAUCUAAAAAAUUCUACAAUUAGAAAUGUCCAAAAAGCUUUUUCAUGAGAAAAUCAAGUUUCUAUUUAUAGGCCAAGGUCAAGUGGACACUUGACAUCAUCUAAGAGGUCUUCCGGAAGCUUCUUCAUCAAGAAAUCUGGAGUUUAAUAAUAAAAUGGUCAUUUCACAAGAGCUCAAACAAUUUCGCAUGAUUAUGUGAAAUAAAAAAUGCAACAACAGCAAUUUACAUCUUCUUGGAGCAUUUCGCAUGACUGUGUGAAAUUUUCACAUGAUCAUGUGGAAUCGACUUGACAACUCUCAUUUAGCCUACAACAUAAUUCCACCUUUUGGUCCAUUUUUCAUAGUCAUGCGAAAUGGAAAUAUUUGAUUUUUAAGUUUUCUUUUGUCAUUUCUUUCAUUUCCUUCUCUUGAUUCCACUUCAACUACCUCCGAAUCCUGGUCCAAACCAAUUGCAUUACUUCUUUCAUUAUGCAUUUGGAUCAUCAUCAACAUUAUUUGUUCUCUUCAAUUUGAUUCAUCUCUUUUGUCACCAAUUUAUCAAAAUCAUACCUUGAAAUGACUCCAAAACUUCAUAAAACUUGUUAGUAACUCUUGCAAGGGCAACAACAUAUUAAUUAAGUGUUUUAGGCAUAGUUACUACUCAAAAGAUGCGAAACUCAUGAUAAUUAUUAUAUAAAAUAUGCUCUUUUUGAGUAGUAAUCAACUUUCUUGCAUAAGCAGACCUUUUAGGGUGGAGUACUAAAGACCAAUAUGCUUGUCCUUGUUGUAAUAAAGAAACUUGCUCUUAUUGAUUGCACCAUGGGAGAAAAUUUUGCUACAUGAGUUAUCAUCAAUUUCUUCCCACCAAUCAUAGAUUUAGACGUGACAAGAGGCCUCUUAAUGGCAAGGAGGAACUGACACUCACACUUAUACAAUUAUCGGGCAUUGAUGUGUUGCAACAAUUAGAAUAACUUACACCAAUUAUGUUGGGGAAGUCACAAAAGGCAAACAUGAAAACUAAAAGGAAAAAAGAAAAAUGUUACAUAUCACCACAACUGGAAAGAAAAAAGUAUUUACUUUCAUUUGCCAUAUUGGAAAGCACUUAUUUUACAUCAUAAUAAUUUAGACAUAAUGCAUAUUGAGAAAAAUGUGUGACAAUAUAAUUGAGACAUUGUUCAGUAUUGACGAAGAAACAAGGACAACCUAAAUAGUCAUCUCGAUUUACAAGCUCUAACUAUUAGAAAUGAGAUUCACCCAAUAGAAAGCAGGACCAAAUUUAUUUUGCUUGCAACAUGCUACUCACUCACCCCAAAUGAGAUUAAGGAAUUUUGCAAGUUUUUGAAAUCAAUAAAGGUCCCCAAUGGCUAUUCUUUCAAUAUCUCUCGUUAUGUGCAACUCAAUGAAAGGAAGAUAUAUGAGCUCAAAUUGUAUGAUUGUCAUGUCCUAAUGCAACAACUUCUCUCACUUGUAGUUCGUGGAGUUCUACAUAAGAAUGUUUGUGGAGUUAUCAUAGAAUUGCGUAAUUUUUUCAAGCAAUUGUGCUCAAAGGUGUUAGAAACAAAUCACUUACACCAACUUGAGAACAAUAUUAUUGUCAUACUAUGUAAAAUGGAGCAAAUAUUUCUUCCAUCAUUCUUUGAUAUUAUGGUGCAUUUACUUGUGCAUCUAGUAAGGCAAAGGUUGCAAGACUUGUGCAAUAUUGUUGGAUGUACCUAAUUGAACGAUAUUGUUAUAAUUUCAUAUGAAUCAUUUAAUUUUAUUUUAUAUUAUGUUCAGUUCAUUAACAUGUACAUUGGUCUACAUAUGGAUGAUGAUAGGUACCUAAGCACUUUAAAGUCAUAUGUGCGUAAUAGAACUUUUCUAGAAGGUUCUAUUGUAGAAAGGUACCUUGCAAAAGAAUGUACAACAUUUUAUUCUAGGUACUUGAAUGAUGUGGAAAUAAAGUAUAAUCACAAUGAUAGAAACUUUGUUGGUUUCAACACUAGAGGAGAUGAAAGGGGUUAUCUUUAAACAUAUUGGACAUGCAUUGGGAAAGCCCAUAUUUCAUUAACUUAGUUCAAAAGAGUGGUCACAAGCACAUUUAUAUGUGUUGACAAAUUGCGAAGAUGUCAUACCAUUCAUUGAGUAAAAAAUUUAUUUGAAUUUUAAUUAAAGCUCUAGUUUAUAUCCUUAAUCAAUGUUUUUUAAAUUCACAAGGAGCACAAGCAAACCAUCAAGGCUAGACCACAUAUACGUGUUUGAGACGUAGAUUUAAUUCAUAACAAGGAAUUUAUCAAGUGGUUUGAAAGACAUGUAAGUAUAUUCCUUAUUAUAAGGGAUUUAUUUCACAUUAUGUUUAUAUUGAAUCCAAACCUAUUAUUGAAUUGUAGGUUGAACAAUUACAUAAUGAAGGUCAUAUAUCUGAACACCUUCUCACAUUAUCAUGUGUUCCAAAUUCAUUAGUUACAUGCUUCAAAUGAUAUAUUGUCAAUGGAUUUAGAUCCCACAUUAAAGAACGUGAUAAAAAAGUUUUUAAAAAAAGACUCAGAAUAAUGGAAUUGUUGUAGUUGCAAAAACGUCAAGCUUUACAAGUGCAUGUGAUAUGAGUCCAAUUAUUAGUGAUGCUCUCUACUAUGGUGUUCUAACUAAAGUUGUUGAGUUACAUUAUCUUGGUGAAAAUAAGGUUGUUUUAUUCGAGUUUGAUUGGUGGGAUGUUACAAAUAUUGGAAAAUUGAUAAAAGAUGAUGAGUACAAUUACACAUUUGUUAACUUUGCAUGAAUUCUAACCACGAACGAACGAUUUGUACUUGCAUCUCCAGCAAAGUAAGUGUUCUAUGUGAAGAAUGCGAAUGAAUCAGAUUGGCAUACUAUCAUGGAGAUGCAACCUCAAGACCUCUAUAAGAUGAACGGGAUAGGAUCCAAUGGUGAUUUUGAACCAUUUCAACAAAGUGAACUACAUGAUCACUAAUAUAUCUCAGAUUUAGUUGAUGAAGAUAUAAUCAAGUGGAACAAAAGUGAUGUUUUAGGACUAAUCAUCCUAAAAAAUAUUGUAGUUUCUUAAAAAAAAAAUGAAAAUGAAGAAGAUAAUUGAACCUUUGUCAUACUUUAAAAAGCAACUAUGCAUUGUUCAUUUUGUAUGUUUUGGUUUUCUUCAUUUAAUUUCCUGAUUUUUGUGAUUCAAUGUCAUAUUAUUGAUCUUGAAAUAUUUUUCUAAUUUUUCAUUCUACGAUGGUUUCAACAAGGAUGACAUCAAGUCAAAAAAGGAAAUGUGGUCCCACACACAAUAUUGCAUUACAGGGAUUAAGGUCAGGGAAGAAGGUAAAAGUUGCAUUUAAUGAGUACAAUCAAUUGGUUAAACAGAAAAAUGGAAAACACUUAUCGAGCUACAUAGGGACACUUGUAUCUAACCAACACAAUGUACCUCUCCAAGCUAGUGAUUGGAAAAAUGUUCCAAAUGAUGCAAAAGAGAAAGUAUGGCCUUUGUUUUGGUAUGUUGUAUUUCUCACUAUAUGAUGUCAUUUCACUGUUAUUCUAUUUUGUGACUAACGUUUGAAUCAUAUGUAAGAAAAAUUUGAAGUAGAUAAAGACUGAAAAGAUUACAUGUUGGGUAUAGCCUCAAAUAAAUAUAGAAGCUAUAAAAAUAUGAUGAAUGCAAAAUACUAUGACCCUUGGCAUAAGGAUGCAUGAGGAGAGGUUAAUACAUAAAUCACCAUUUGUCUCUGAUGUUGAUUGGAAGUGGCUUGUCUCUGAUGCAUAAACCAAAUCCCCCACUGAAUGUUUGAUAUUUGAUAGCAGGAAAAACACACCCGCAGCUAUACACCUCCAUCAUUCAGAUAAUUAUAGUGGGGGAGAUGAUUCAUGGUUGCCCUUAUACCCUUUAUUUGCACCAUCUAUUGAGAUUCUUUAUCAUGGCCAGGUUUUACUGCAGCAAUAAGAUAUGGUGGCAACAAUUUUAUCUAUAGGUGCGGUUCCAGACCGCCUCCAUAGGUGCGGUUCCUGACUGCCUCCAUAGGUGCCUCUUCUUGUAAUGUUUGUUCUGGGAAUUACACUUGAAAGCCUUAUCGUGAUAAGGGAUUACAAACACUAGUUCAGAGGACAGCCAUGUUAAACUUCCACUAUGUUUGUGUCACAUUAUCAGCAGCCUAGUGUUUAUUGGUCAUGCUAUCUGCAACUAAUAUAACCCGGUGAACUUCAAUCUAAAUUCUGAAAGUACUCAUGUGACAGAUGGUGCCUUUCAGCAGAUAUCAUCAAUUUAAAAGUAGUGUGUGUGCCUAUAGGUGGGAAGGCCUUGGCAAAUGUUCAGUAUUCCGGUAAUUCAAGAAGGAUAUAUCUAAAAUAGAUUUUCUUCUUGCCCAUUUCAAUAGUUAAAAUUUGAGAAGAUUGUGUCCACAUCACACAAAUAUUAUUGGUCCUUCUGUUGCAAUUUACCUCUGAACAUGUCUUCCAAUUCCCACGGUCCUGUUACUCCAGGAAAACUAUUUCGGUCAUAUUGAAAAAAAAAAUAUUAAAGAAGGUACACAUGCUUUUAAGUGGACUGGGGCAUUCAUAUCAGGUGGUCUGUAUCCACAUAUGCCACUUCGUGAAAGGUGGAACAGCCUAAUCACUAGGCUAUUUAGUGUGGCCCAGCCACGUUAAUCAAGCACAAGUCUUCAUACUUAAAGUCAAAUGGUGUCUUUAGUCUCAUUACACAUCGCUAUUUGAAGAUUAACUCAUCACUAGUGUAAUGCGAUUAAGACAGUCCUAACUCAAUAUUUGUUCUAGUUUUGGAUGCAAAUGCUUGCUGGUUUCAUCAUUGGAUGGGAUAAAGGUGCAAUCAGGACUAUGAAUACGUGCAGUAAUACUUCAUUCUCUUUUUUCUCAAUGAGACUUCUUGGCACAAUUUUGCUGCUCAGCAACCUACCUUUCCAUGGAAAAUCAGUUGUGACUGAUAGUAAUGGAUAUAUUCUAGAAAGCUAAACAUAGAUAGCAUUCAAUAUUAUCGAUAUAACAUUAACAGCGUAUGUCUCAAUGCUCAUCAGCUACAAGCAAUGGACAAACACUUUGAGUAACUCACAGCAGUCAAAAUUCCUAAACAGGACAGACGUGACAGAUCUAUAUAUAGAACACUGCAUAUGAGUCACAGGAAAAGAUAAUACGGGUACAUAGAAGCUCUUAUUUUACAUAUUACUCAUACUGAUCAAAGUCGCUCAGUUGGGAUGGAUGGGAGAAGGAGGUUUGAGGGGUGGCUUGUGCGGGGAAGUUGGCAGCUUCUUUCCGGGAGCUGGUUGCUUCUUUGCUGGAGUUGAAGGAGGCUUAAUCUUCCGAGGUGGCUUGUAUGAGUCUUCAGCAUUCUCAGCAGGAGGGUGACCAGGGUUGUGACCAUAAUGUGGUGGCUUCUCUCCCUUAGGUGGUUUGCCAACUGGGGUUGGUGGCUUGUUUUCUGGGAGUGGCUUCUCUCCCUUGGGUGGUUUGCCAACUGGGGUUGGUGGCUUGUGUUCUGGGAGUGGCUUCUCCCCCUUGGGAGGUUUUUCGAAUGGGGUGGGUUUGUGUCCUGGUGGUGGCUUCUCUCCCUUGGGAGGUUUACCAAUUGGGGUCGGUGGCUUGUGUUCUGGGAGGGGCUUCUCUCCCUGGGGAGGUUUAGUGGGUGGCUUGUGUUCUGGAGGUGGCUUCUCCACCGGAGGCUUAUGCUCUGGUGGUGGCUUCUCGAAGGGGGGAUGCUCAGGGUAAUCACCAAGUGAGGGGGUGGUGAGAACCACCAUGCCAAGCAACAACACUAGCAAGUAUGUAGUAGACAUCUUUGGGUUUGGACUCAGACAGUGCAAAACUACGAGAAAUCGCUAGCCCUUUAUAGCGGCUCGGACCUAAUACUGACAUAAUAUAAAAUAAAUAUUAUAUUUUAUCAAGAGAGAACAGAGUGUAAUUUUAUCAUUAAUACCGAUCGAGGCCAAAGAAAGAAGACCCAUAAUCCAUUUCCCACAAGCAUACACAAUGCAGCUGUAAUUUUAUCAUUUACUUUUAUCCCUUGGACCACUGCAUUUUUGUUGAGAGACACAAUAACACAUUUUUAUCUGUCAUUCAACAUUUACAGUAAAGAGAGGGCACAAAACGCAAUUAGAUAAAUUAUGUUUUGCCUGCUAAAAAGAGGCAAAUAACUUUAUUUGCAACAUAAUUAUUUUGGUUUCUAGUGACCCCGGGGCCUUUCGGUUGGUUUGGGAUCGGAAAAUGAACAUCAUAGGGGGGGUUGUGCCCUUAUGGGCAUAUAUAUCUGAUAGCUUCAACUGGCCUUGUUCCUAGAAAGAAAUUGCCAAAGAUAUAAACUUAUUCCAGGCUGAAAGUAGAUGAGAGUCAUAAUGAACAUCAACCUUUGUUCAGUUUGAUUCAAUGCCCCCAUAGUGUUCAUUUCACAGAUCUGAAUGAUUAUAUCCGUUGAAUACAUAAAUUAAUGAAGACAAAUAUGAAACCCAAGAUACAUCUCUGCAUAACAACCCCAACCCUGGUUGCUAUGUUUCCCUUCUUCUAUUCACAUGAGGAUACUGGUUAUAAUUGUCAAACUUGCAACAAGCCCUUUGACACCUAACGUCAAUGGACGAAUUAAAAGUCUCCUUCAAACGUCUAUUUCACAGCAUGAAGCUUAUAAAGGAUGCUGACAACCUUCAGAGUUAGCGACAAAAGAUAAUUAUCAAGGAGAGAUAGUUCCAUGAGAAUUCCAAGGAGUCUGAAUCAAAGACAAAUUGCUCACUCAAGGGUUCUUAUUUUCUUUUAGGUACAAAUCUCUUGAGUGUUGUUAAAGAAACACGUCACUGUCAUUUUGAUUUGCAUUUAACAUUUCACUUUUGUUCUGGAAGGUUUGUUCCGGAAACAUAUCAAAUGAGCAUCAUUUUCUUCUUCGGUGACACAUGGUCGCGAGUACGUGGGUCCAUUUUCAUGCCACUUAGUUGAAAAGUUGGAAAGAAAAAACAUGCCAACAAGAAGAUAGUGAGAGAAGGGGCACUUCAAGCCUUUAACAUGAACAAACAGUAAAUAAAAGAUGUUUCUCCACUCAUAAAAGUGUGUUAGAUAGCAAUAUAACGAAUCACAUCCAAAAUCUUUACUAGGCUCAAACAUAAAGAAGACUCAUUUUUAAGAAAAGAUAAAAAUGGCAUUGUCUGAUAGUAUCCAAUACACGAGAUGGCACUUAAUUUGUACAAGAUCUGUCAAUGCUGACGCACAUUUUCUGAUUAAAAAAAAACUGAUCAGUCAAAAGCAAUGAAGAGAAGUGAUGACAAUGAAUGAUGCUUCCAAUAUUUUCACCCCUUAUAGUGUUCUUCAUGAUUCAGAUAUAUAAUUGGAAAUAGAACAACCCUAUGCCAUACAUUCGUCUAAGUAUGGUGUCUAAUUUUUUGUGUCAGCGGUUGCGAAUGGAGCGUGCAAAAGUCCAAAUUGGCGUCUCUCCAUUUCCACAUAGGAAGGUGACCUUUAUUGACAAAUACCCAAUAUUUGUAGACAUUCCUUAAAUAUCAUAACUUCUUGUUGAUUUGAAAAUCAUUUUUCAACUACCAUGUUUUAAUAAAUAUUUUUUAAAAUGUAUUUUUAUCAAAGUCCACCAUGAUGGAUAAUAUUCACCAUGCAAUAAUUAAUAAAGUACAAACUAAGCGAAAUGAAAAGCAUUUUCUUUGCUUUGAGUUGAUUUUGGUUGCAUUGAGUUGAUUUUGGUUUCAUGGUUUUUUCAACUCUUAUUUUGAUUGGAAGAUGUCAAGAAAAGAAAACAUAAAGAAAAAUUAAAAGGGAAAAAAGAAGAAAAAUAAAAAAAAAUAGAUUUAAAAGUUAAUAAAUUAUUUUUUAUAUUUAUUUUAAUUCAUUUCACUUAUUUUUCUUUUACUAUAUAAAAUUUAAAUAAUUUAAAUUUUAUAAUUAAUUUAAUUACAUUUCAUUUUCUUCUAUAUUUAAAUAUUGGAAAAAUAUUUUACUUAAUAUUUUUUUCUUUAAUUUCUUUGGCAUUUUGGGAACCAAACUUAGCCUUUAAAAUAAAAAACAAAAAAAAAAUGAAAAUAAGGAGGGAAAAGUGAGAAAAGAUAAAAACAAUAUGUAAAGGAUUUGAAAAGUAUUAGUUUGUAAUUACUAUUUGGAUUUCAAUAGUAUUUUAUUUGUCUUUCUAUAUUUCAUGUAAGAGAGAAUUUAAGAUAUUCCCCAAGGCAAAGCAUUAGUUACCUGCAAUCAGUGGUGAUAAGGCUCCAAGCCAAUUUUGGGCCCCAUAUCUUAAGACAGUACAAUUUCCAUUUCAACAUUUCUGAUUUCUCAGAUGUUUCACAUACCACAGAAGAACAUUGUUUGUGAAAAUAUGCAUUUAUGUUGGAUUUUGUAUGCUGUGGGGACUGGGGCAAGGAUCAUAUGGAAGAGUGGUUGACUUUUUCUGUACUUUAACGGUUGAAAUAGGAUAAGCACGGGCAUUUGUGAGGCUUAAUUGAUUUUGAAGCCUGAAAUUGCGUUUCUGUCAUUUUGUCAAAAAAAUGGCAGAUUCCAUACUCAUAUGUUUGGCCUGUGGCCAUGUACAGAUGCCAUUUAGUGACCAGUUUGUAACUGUCAAUCGUUGCGUUUUGACUCUGCCUCAACAACAUCUGCCAUUGACGGGUUUUCAUACUUGCAAAUCAAAUAGUCUUUCGUCCCAUCAGGAAUUUCGGUUUAAAUAUUAUUAAGCAUACGUUUGGCUGACAAUCAUUAUCCAGUUCAUGAUUUGGUUUCUUACCCUUAAUCAAUGGUUUCUAAGUGAAUAUAUGUAGAAGGAAAUCCGAAGUGUAGACAGUAGUAUCGAUAACUCUCAAUAUUCUCUAUAUAAUAGAAUAAACAGCGUCAUAGUGAUCGUCGCCUACAAGCAAGGUACAAAUACCAAAACGAGUGACUCACAUAGACAUCUCCCAACAAGAUGUAGUAGUGACUGACACAUGGACACAAUUAACUCGUAGAAAAGGAUAAGACCAUUGCACAGCAGCUCUUAUUUUACAUACUACUUAUGCUAACCAAAGUCAAUUAGUUGGGAUGGGUGGGAGAUGGAGGUUUGUGCGGUGGCUUGUGGGGCGGAGUUGAUGGCUUCUUUCCAGGAGCUUCUGGCUUUUUCAUCGGAGCUGAAGGAGGCUCAAUCUUAUGAGGCGGCUUGUAUGAGUCUUCUUUACUCUCGACAGGAGGGUGGCCAGGGUUGUGAUCAUAAUGUGGUGGCUUCUCUCCCUUAGGUGGCUUGCCAACUGGGGUUGGUGGCUUGUGUUCAGGAAGUGGUUUCUCUCCCAUGGGAGGUUUAGCAAUUGGGGUUGGUGGCUUGUGUUCUGGGAGUGGCUUCUCUCCCUUGGGAGGUUUAGUAGGUGACUUGUGUUCUGGAGGUGGCUUCUCCACCGGAGGCUUGUGCUCCGGUGGUGGCUUCUUGGUUGGAGGGGGCUUGGGGUAAUCAGCAAGAGAUGGGGUGGUGAGAACCACCAGUCCAAGGAACAACACUAGCAAGUAUGUGGGAGACAUUUUUGAGUUUGGGCUGAUCAGAUGAUGCAAAACUAAAGCAUUACGUGACCUUUUAUAGCAUGUAGCUCCCAAUACCCACUAAGUAUUGUGGGGUCCAUUUGUGCCCUACGGGGUUGAAAACUUAGACAAUUGGGCAAGGACCCACCUGACUAUGGAGGACUAGUGAGGUGUGAUCAUAGCUUUAGGAUUUUUCUUCCUCUGCAGCCGUCGUGCCGUUGGCAUGAUUUUCUUAAUCUUAAAUAAAGGCAUAGUUAUAGAGUUGUUUAAUCUCUAAAUGGGAUUUUAUAUAUAUCUUCAGAUAGCCAUUAAUAUAUUUGAUGAAGAAAGAAAGACAAGUGCAUACAACAUGUAUACGACUAGCUUUCAUGGAGUUCAUUUAUGAUCAGUUUUCCUGUACAUGUAAACCAGGAUCAUAUAUAUGUUUCUGUUCCACAACUAUUUUGGAAUCUUGUUUAUCAGUUUUUAUCAUUAUAAUGUCACAUAGGCUGCCAACUUGGGCGCUAAAAGAACCAGUUGGGCUAGUUCGUUUCAGAAUUUCAAUGUGGAUUCAGGAAUUGUUUUGUAAGAUAUGCGAAAUAGUAGAGGGAUGAAUAGUGUUUCAUUAAUAAAAGUGUCCUGUAAAUUAGAAGGUGUCAUAGAAACUAUAAUCAAUAAAUAACUUUUUUUCCCCACGGGUGGUGUUUCUUGUGGGGAUCAGUGACUGGUUUAGGUUCACCCAAAAUGAGUUCAGACUAAAAUUGGUUUGAGUCAAUGCCGUGUCUCUUUUUUCCAGAAAUCAACUAUUUUAUGCAUUGAAUAAAUCAUACAAAGAAAAUAUGAACGCCCGCAAAACCUAAACCCUGGUUGCUAACUUUCUAUGUUUCAGUUCUAUUCACGCAAGAAUAUUAGUUUAAGUUUGGGAAAAAUGGCAACUUACCUAGUGAUUACUUGGUUUUGGUUUGCGACUAUUUACGCAACCAACCAUGAGUUUGACUUUAACGUCAUGGGUUGAAGCCUCCUACAGGAAGGGAGAAAGCUCCACAGCUAGCUCCAAAAGAGAAUUAUCACAUUGAUAGCUCCAGAGAUUCCCAAGGGGACUGAAUCAAAGACAAGUUCCUCACUUUUUCUUCUUUUGAGGCCAAAUAUGAACCAAGGAUCACACAACCUCAUUCAACUUCAUAAGUUUGAUUUCAUGCAGUUGAACACUGGGUGAAGGCCAUGACAAGAAUUGAUUCAAAAAUUCUAUCACUCUUUUAAGUAAUGGAAGAUUAUUAUCUCUGAUUGGCAUCACAACAGCACAUGCUCCUAGAUCUUUCUAGACACUCCAUGCAAUGAAAGCACAAUGGAUCUUGUAACGAUAGAAACUAAGCCAUGCUACAGUACUAGAUGAUGAGGUAAAACUAGUAGACACGGGUGGCAGCCUAUAUGGGAGGGACACAAGUCUAAUUGAUUUGCAUUUCAGCAUUAUAGAUAGGUAUGUUUUGGAAGAUUUGUUCUGGAAAUACCGCACCAAGUAGGAUUCUUUUUCUCUUUAGUGGGUCCACUUGCAUGCCAAUUAACGAGUUGAAAAGUAUGAGCACCUACCUCGUGCUCGUGGAACCGAAGGUCAGUGAAGUGGGGCUCCUUUUGGCCUCGUGUAAACUUGAUUCAGAAGUGAAGUUAAUAGUCUUCCAUUCAGAUGGAUACAUGGGAAUUUUUCUCUUUUAUUUAUUUAUUUAUUUUUUUUUUGUGUGUGUAUGUCAAAGGAUAAUGAAUGAAGCGCGUUAGCUUGUUUUCUGACUGGAACCGCAGAUGUCCAAAUUGGAGUUCCUUCAUUUCUUACUUAGGAUUGUUACAUGUAUAAACAAGGUAUAAGAAAUAUGCCAACGUGUCUUGAGGAGUUAUUGAUUAGAAAUAACAAGUCACCCGACUGUAGAGUUCCAAGAUUUGAAUCUUCAGACCCUAUAGCAGCCUCUGGGGUACGUGGCAUCCUAUAGCAUAUUAAUGAAGGCUUUUUCGAUUUAGACUUCACAAUACCAAUUAAUAUGUAUGCACAAAAUGGAGAUGACCCCAAAAAAAACAGAAUCGCCAUAGUUUAUGAGGUUAAGGUGAUUCUCCACUUAAUAUCUACAUUAGCUAAUUAUGUAAAUCAAAUGAACUUCUAUUUUUCCUUUUUUUUUUUGGUUUAUGUCAAAUAGUAGCCCAUAAUUAACCCAACCAUUAGCCUGUUUGAAUUGAUUUCACAUGCACAAUGUUGUAGUAGUUCAUAUUUUGAAUUUUAUUUUUACAAAGGUAGUUAAGGAAAAUGAAGUAUAAUAAUUAUAAAAGCAGACUAUAUACACUACAAUAAUUGUUAGAAUGGUAUCUCAAAUUCUAAUUUAAAAUAUUAUUUUUUGUAAAAGAAAUAUUAUAUAGAAUAUUUCCUAAUUUUAUAAAUGAUUAUAAUUAGAUCUUUAUAAAAUAAGGAAAGUUGGUAAGAAUAUCUUUAUAAAUAUUUUAGGUCAUGAGAGAAAGAAAUGGGAUAAAAAUGUGAUGAAGAGGUGAAAUAAGAGAGUUGAUUAGGAUAUAGAUGUGAAGAAGAAAGGGAUUCAAUAUAUAUAUAUCUUUCAAUUACCACAUUAAAACCCUGUGAACCUUUUAUAUGGUUUACUUUAUUUUUAUAUUCCUCCUUUAAUAUAUUUACAUUAAUGCUUCCAUUGGCACAACAAUAACGAAUUACAAAUACAAGCAACAAGUCCCAUGUUUUAUUACCAAAAGCAGGUAAAAUCCACCUAAUAUAUUACAAUAUAUUCAUCCAAUAUUUUAGACCAAUUCUUCACCAUAAAUAUCAUAAUGUGGCUUUUGUUCUUUCUUAAAUUUAAAUUGAAUUGUCUUAUAUCAAUUUGUUUGUGAUUUUUUCAUUAACUUCACUUUCAUUUGGUUAUCUUUGGUUUUUGAAAAGUAUUAAGGAAUUAAUUAACAAAAUAAUGUUAAGAAAAAUAAUUUUCUCUCUUUUGAUUUUGAUUUUGUAGUAGAAAAAUAUAAUUAAAAUUAUUUAAAAAGUAUGUAAUUUUAAAUUAUUUAAUAUUUAGAUAAAAAAAAUAAGUCUAAUGAGUUUAAAAUAACAUAUAAAAAUAAUUUAUUUAUUUUAAAUUUAUUUUUUAUUUUCCAUUAUGUUCUCUUUCUCUUUUACUUUUUCAUAUUUUUUCUUACGAAGAAUCAAACACAACCUCAUAUUAUAUGUCAAGUGUUUGUCUAUAUUUGAGCAAUGUUAGAUACGGCCAUGGAUUCAUCAAACUAAACUGAUUUUAAUAGAUACUUCACAAAUUGAUUUAUACACUAAAUCAUUGGAUAGCAAUGAUGCAUUGGAAUUAAACGUAGGAUGAAGCUCGAAGAACACUGUUUGUGUAACAACAUAUUUAUGAAAUUAUGCAAAGGAUGAGCUUCGGGGUAGUAGUACAAGGUCAUUAAUGGAGAGCCGUGUUAAACCUUGAUUGUGAUUGGAUUCCGUUAUCAGCAACAGCAACCUUGUUUGUAACCUUGAAAGUCAUUCUGUCCACAUCGAAACUCCAAUUUGACGUUUGUAAUUACCAUUCCUGGAGUGUUCCUUGAUUGAAAUUUAAAUAAUAAUUGCGGCCCACAAGGAAUAUUUUCGAUUCUGUGGGAAUUUGACAAGGUUUGUUAGAGAAGACUGGUGACAUGUUGACUUCAAUGGUUCAAAUAGGAGACGUAUGUGGAUUUGGGGGGUUUAAUUGAAACUGAGUCCCUAUGGCUUUUUAAUAUUUGCAUUGAGCAGUCUCCAUGUGACUUCCUAAUUCCCACCAACCCUCCUGUCCAUGCUGUGAAACUAAAUUGUAAUUUAUCAGCCUUUGUCAAUGGUUUCUAAAUUAAAGAUAUAGACCAUGCAUGUACUUUAAUAAAAGCAAAUCUAAAGUGUAGAUAGCAGCAAUGGUGACACCCAAUAUUCUCCAUAAAAUAGAAUUAGAAUAAGCAGUGUUACAUUGUUCAUGAUCACCUACAAGCAUACAAGAACUUCCAUGAAUAACUCAUAGCAAUUGCCAACAGGGCGUCGUAGAGACUCAUACAUAGAACACUAUCCACCCAGAGGAAAGGACAAGACCAGUGCGCUGCAGCUCUUAUUUUUCACAUGUAUACCACCACUCGUAAUAACCAAAUUCACUCAGUUGGGAUAGGUGGGAGAUGGUGGUUUGUGGGGUGGCUUGUGGGGAGGAGUUGGAGGAGGCUUUAUUUUCUGAGGCGGCUUGUAUGAGUGUGCAGGAGGAUGCCCGGGAGUGUGACCAUAAUGUGGUGGCUUCUCUCCCGUAGGUGGUUUGCCAAAUGGGCUUGGUGGCUUCUCUCCCUUAGGAGGUUUACCAAUUGGGGUUGGUGGCUUGUGUUCUGGGAGUGGUUUCUCUCCCUUGGUAGGUUUGCCAAUUGGGGUUGGCGGCUUAUGUUCUGGGAGUGGCUUCUCUCCCUUGGGAGGUUUGCUAAUUGGGGUUGGCGGCUUAUGUUCUGGGGGCGGCUUCUCUCCCUUGGGAGGUUUGCCAAUUGGAGUUGGCGGCUUAUGUUCUGGGAGUGGCUUUUCUCCCUUGGGAGGCUUGCCAAUUGGGGUUGGCGGCUUAUGUUCUGGGGGUGGCUUCUCUCCUUUAGGAGGUUUGCCAAUUGGAGUCGGCGGCUUAUGUUCUGGAAGUGGCUUUUUUCCCUUGGGAGGUUUGCCAAUUGGGGUUGGCGGCUUAUGUUCUGGGGGUGGCUUCUCUCCCUUGGGAGGUUUGCCAAUUGGAGUCGGCGGCUUAUGUUCUGGGAGUGGCUUCUCUCCCUUGGGAGGUUUUGUUGGUGGCUUGUGUUCUGGAGAUGGCUUCUCCCCUGGAGGCUUGUGCUCCGGAGGUGGCUUCUGAAAUGGCGGGGGCUUGGGGUAAUGAGCAAGAGAUGGAGUACUGGUGAGAACCACCAUUCCAAGCAACAAUACUAGCAAGCAUGUGGGAGAC